GUGGAAAUGAUAGUGAAUCACACACACCAUUGAUAAACAUGCAAAGUUCUUCUUAAAUUGUUGUACUCACAUAAUUCAGCUGGUUUCACACUUAUAGUCUGUAUUUCUUCCUCUUGGCUGCCUGGUUGGUUGGCAUCGUUUUGCCUCUUUUCUUCCCCUUGUGUCUCACCUGUCCCACCUUCUUCUUCAUCCAAACCUGCCUUCAGCUCUGCUGCACACAGGUAGAUUAGAUUAAAACAAGAGGGAUACACGGAUACAGUAUGCAGACACCUGCAUGUUUAUGAUUUCAGUGCUUGCACAUUAACAUGGGUGUGUCUGAAGCUACCAUCAUCUUCCAGCUGGGAGCAGUACUCCUUGUAUGGGGUGGGAGAAGAACAGAAAAAGUAACAGAAAUUGCAUUGCAUCAUGCCAAAACUGCAGUCUAUUAAUUACAACAGAUUCAUACAUUUACAAUGACAGUGAUUGCCGUGAGGAAGUCAGAUACCAUUGCCCAAUUCUGAGUGAUGGCGCAGGUGACGUUCAAAUGUAUUAUUAUGCAAAUUAGGUGCUGAAUAUUUAACACAUGCUCCACUGAUUUGUCGACACCUGUAUGGAAGUUCAAUGGACCACAUUCACAGCUUGUCAAAGCAUCAGCGACAGCCAGAAGCAAAGCAGAGGUUACUGCCAGAAAAAGGCACUUUACUUUAAGAGAAAGGGUGAUAGGAAAGUCUGUAAAAAACUUAAUGAACCUCUUCUGAUUUUAACCAUCUUGUGACAGAGUUUUAACACAGCUUACGUCAAAACAUUUUCAUAUUUAACACUCAUUUUAAGAAGAGAUUCCAUCUUAUUAGAGGAGAUGGUGAUUCACUUUUUUUUUUCAAAAUGGAAAAGAUCAAACCGUGUUACAGGACAACUGACCCAAUAAGCUGUUUGCGGCCUUAAUGAGCGAUGUAUGUUUAGGAAUGUUUGUAUAUUAAAGACUGUUUGUAUUUUCACUCUAAUAUGUCUGACCUGGCAUUGAUAGGCAGAGUCAUGAUCUCCUCCCCGACACCCUCAACAUCCACCACCAGCCCCAGCCUGUAUCUCUUGACCGUGUUGGAGCACAGCGUCACCUGUACAUGUAAUACACAUAUAUAUACAUACACAUAUACAGUAUGAGACCAAGGUUCAAAUGAUGCAGUGACU
rnacentral:lncRNA from 1 species